GGAUUCAAUGAUUCAAUCUUAAGAUUCAAUAAUUCAAUCUUAGGACUCAAUGAUUCAAUCUUAUGGAUUGAAUGAUUCAAUCUAGGAUUCAAUGAUUCAAUCUUAGGAUUCAAUGAUUCAGUCUUAGGAUUCAAUGAUUCGAUCUUAGGAUUGAAUGAUUAAAUCU